AGGGCUAUAGCUCAGUUGGUAGAGCACCUCGUUUACACCGAGAACGUCUACGGUUCAAGUCCGUAUAGCCCUA
rnacentral:tRNA from 1 species